AUUGAACGCUGGCGGCACGCCUAACACAUGCAAGUCGAGCGGCAGCGAGACUAGUAGCAAUACUAGUUGUCGGCGAGCGGCGGACGGGUGAGUAACACGUAGGAAUCUGCCCUUAAGCGGGGGAUAACCAAGGGAAACUUUGGCUAAUACCGCAUAAUCUCGAGAGAGCAAAGCUGCCCGCAAGGGUGGCACUUGAGGAGGAGCCUGCGUCCGAUUAGCUAGUUGGUGGGGUAAUGGCCUACCAAGGCGAUGAUCGGUAACUGGUCUGAGAGGACGACCAGUCACACUGGGACUGAGACACGGCCCAGACUCCUACGGGAGGCAGCAGUGGGGAAUAUUGGACAAUGGGCGCAAGCCUGAUCCAGCAAUGCCGCGUGUGUGAAGAAGGCCUUCGGGUUGUAAAGCACUUUAGCCUGGAAAGAAAAAACUUUGGUUAACACCCAAAGUCUUGACGGUACCAGGAGAAUAAGCACCGGCUAACUCUGUGCCAGCAGCCGCCGUAAUAC
rnacentral:rRNA from 1 species